GCAGAAGAUCCUCCUGGGAUCAUCACUGGUGAGUGCCCCUGGGGCUCACUGGGUGACUGGUGGAGGGGAUCUAAAGGCCGGGGGGCCCUGCUGGCCCCCCGGUCAUGCAGGCUAGGUACAUGAUGGUCAUUUUGUCAUCACUCACAGGUGCUGGUUGGGUCUUGUUGCUUAGGAUGAGCUUCUUUGUGUUUAGCUGCUGCUUUCUGCUUGCUCCUGAUGAGCUGAAGUCCUUGGCAGAGCUGGAAGCUCUUGGGUCUGAAUGGUUUUUAUGGGUGGUGAGAUGCUCCACUGCUUGGAUCAAUGUGUUUCAUUUAAUGGGGGUCGUUGUGCUGCUUGGUAUGCAUGAGUUAAACCACCUUCGAAGCCCAUUCUUGCAGACAACCUCUGCGUGCCUCGCUUGUAGCUCUGAGCUGCUGAAGGUAUUUACAUACCAAAGGGCUCGCAGAGUCCAGUGUGGAUCACAGUGCAUGGAAACAACAGGCGUGAAACAAGAUUAAAAGAGCUGUGUGAGCAGAAACAUUGCUCAGCAGGGCGGAGAGGAGCAGGGUCACGUUAGUCUUUGCCAGCAGAGGGGAAGCUUGCAGCAGUCAGCCCUGAGUGGGGGUUCCUGUAAUGCAUUGUCUUUUGUGCACGAUGAGUUUGUAAAACCCUGUUUUGCUUCCUAAUAAAUGUGUGUAUAUAUAUUUUGAGCUUAAAA